rnacentral:sRNA from 1 species
GCAUUGUGUUUGUCGCCGGUGUCGCAGUGCGAGGAUGGCGCCGCGGGUGUAGCGGGUCUCUGCGCAGGCCGAGUGGGCUUGGUGAGGUGACUCGCGGUCGCGGGUGACUCGCCGGCAGGACACUGCCUGGAACGCCUGGAGCGCCUCCCACUGCAGACGUCUGUCCGCCUCCAGCCGCUCUCCUCUGACGGGUCCUGCCUCAGUUGGCGGAAUGGCGGCCACGGGAGCCAAUGCAGAGAAAGCUGAAAGUCACAAUUUGUGUGUGUUGGUGGAAGCCCCUCCCGGAUGAAAGCCUUCAUCAGGUCUGGAGCCUGGCACUGUGGUCAUAACAGAGCAGGCAGUGGAUACCUGCUUCAAGGCAGAGUUUGAGCAGAUUGUCCUGGGGAAGCGGGUCAUCCGGAAAACGGACCUUAACAAGAAGCUGGUGCAGGAGCUGUUGCUGUGUUCUGCAGAGCUGAGCGAGUUCACCACAGUGGUGGGGAACACCAUGUGCACCUUGGACUUCUAUGAAGGGCAAGGCCGUCUGGAUGGGGCUCUCUGCUCCUACACGGAGAAGGACAAGCAGGCGUAUCUGGAGGCAGCCUACGCAGCCGGCGUCCGCAAUAUCGAGAUGGAGUCCUCGGUGUUUGCCGCCAUGUGCAGCGCCUGCGGCCUCCAAGCGGCCGUGGUGUGUGUCACCCUCCUGAACCGCCUGGAAGGGGACCAGAUCAGCAGCCCUCGCAAUGUGCUCAGCGAGUACCAGCAGAGGCCGCAGCGGCUGGUGAGCUACUUCAUCAAGAAGAAACUGAGCAAGGCCUGAGCGCUGCCCUGCACCUCCGCAGACCUGCUGCGAUGACUUGCCAUUAAAAGCAUUGUCCAAAA